GACUUAAUAUUUUAAUUUAAAAAAUCUGGUUUGCAUCUAGACAUUGAAAAUAGGUAUCUUCUUAAGUC
rnacentral:tRNA from 1 species